GCCCCUGUAGCUCAGCGGAUAGAGCACCGGCCUCCGAAGCCGGUGGCGAGAGUUCGAUUCUCUCCAGGGGUACCA
rnacentral:tRNA from 1 species